GGCCACUUCCCCUACCCCGACCCUUCGGCCUGGACGGACGAGGAGCUCGGCAUCCCUCCGGACGACGCGGAAUAGGCGCCUCCGGCCGCGGCGAUCCCGGCAGCGCACCGGUCCCUGGAACUAAAGAGGUCCCUGGAACUAAAGAGGUCCCUGGAACUAAAGCUUUGGCUCCUUGGUCCUCAUUUCAAUAAAAUUUAGCCGUAAACAACCUC